rnacentral:rRNA from 1 species
UACAGAGGGUGCGAGCGUUGUCCGGAAUCACUGGGCGUAAAGGGCGCGUAGGUGGCCACUAUAAGGCCGUGGUGAAAGUCUGGGGCUCAACCCCAGAUCUGCCAAGGCGACUGUAGGGCUAGGGCACCGUAGAGGCAGAUGGAAUUCCGGGUGUAGCGGUGGAAUGCGUAGAUAUCUGGAGGAACACCGGUGGCGAAGGCGGCAUCCUGGACCGAGAUUGACGCUGAGUGCGCGAAAGCCAGGGGAGCAAACGGG